UACGACUACAUAUCAGGCAUAUCAAUAAGCGGAGGAAAAGAAACUAACUAGGAUUCCCUCAGUAACGGCGAGUGAAGCGGGAAGAGCUCAAAUUUGAAAUCUUCAAGGUUCUACCUUGACGAAUUGUAGUUUAAAGAAGUGUUUUCUGUUGGAGUUUUGGUAAAAGUUCUUUGGAAUAGGACAUCAUAGAGGGUGAGAAUCCCGUAUUUGACCAUUAUUUCCAGCUUUGUGAUACACUUUCAAAGAGUCGGAUUGUUUGGGAAUGCAGUCCAAAAUGGGUGGUAAAUUUCAUCUAAAGCUAAAUAUUAGCGAGAGACCGAUAGCGAACAAGUACCGUGAGGGAAAGAUGAAAAGAACUUUGAAAAGAGAGUUAAACAGUACGUGAAAUUGUCAAAAGGGAAGCGUUUGACACCAGUGUUGUUUCUACGAAAAUCAAUUUAUGAUGGCUUGAUGCUAAGCUUUAAGACUUUAUCCGCUUGUUGUUUAGUUUUCUUGUCUUUGUGAAUGCACUUUUCGUGGAACAAGUCAACAUCAAUUUCUUUUGCUGUAAAAGGGUAAGAGGAAGGUGGCUUCGGCUUCGGUUGAAGUGUUUAUAGCCUUUUAUCUCUGCAGUCGGAGAGAUUGAGGUCUGCAGCGUAGAUCCUUCGGGGUUAGAUACAUUUGUGCUAAGCUACAGCUUUUCAUAGACAACUUGUUGACUAUGUUUAGUCUUGUAACUUACCCGCUUAUGCUAUUUUACCUACGCUUAGGAUGUUGAGCGCAUGUCUCUCUCU
rnacentral:rRNA from 1 species